GUAAUUUCAGCACUUUGGGAGGCCAAGGCGGGCGGAUCACUUGAAGUUCUGUUUGGAUUCUGCAAAGCAGACUCGUCAGAAAGUUGCUGUGAACUGGACCAACUUCAGCCUCAAGAAAACCACUCCUAGCACAGCUCAGUGAGGCCCUGCCCAGGCUGAGCUUCUUCAGGGCGUCCUGAGGCCCCGACUGCCAGCUGAAGGCCUACAAUUUUUCCCUCCGUGUGCCCCACCCACCCGUCCAAGACCCUCUCUGCUCCCCACCAUCCUGGACCAACCAAAAGCUGAACGGAUGCCACACUGUGCUGGGGCCCCUUGACCUCAGCAGAGCCGCUUCCUGGUGCUACGCAGCCUCCACACUCAGAGCCCGUGGACUGGGCUGGCCUAAGGGCCAGGG
rnacentral:sRNA from 1 species